rnacentral:rRNA from 1 species
GAUGAACGCUGGCGGCGUGCCUAAUACAUGCAAGUUGAGCGAACAGACGAGGAGCUUGCUCCUCUGACGUUAGCGGCGGACGGGUGAGUAACACGUGAAUAACCUACCUAUAAGACUGGGAUAACUUCGGGAAACCGGAGCUAAUACCGGAUAAUAUAUUGAACCGCAUGGUUCAAUAGUGAAAGACGGUUUUGCUGUCACUUAUAGAUGGAUCCGCGCCGCAUUAGCUAGUUGGUAAGGUAACGGCUUACCAAGGCAACGAUGCGUAGCCGACCUGAGAGGGUGAUCGGCCACACUGGAACUGAGACACGGUCCAGACUCCUACGGGAGGCAGCAGUAGGGAAUCUUCCGCAAUGGGCGAAAGCCUGACGGAGCAACGCCGCGUGAGUGAUGAAGGUCUUCGGAUCGUAAAACUCUGUUAUUAGGGAAGAACAAAUGUGUAAGUAACUAUGCACGUCUUGACGGUACCUAAUCAGAAAGCCACGGCUAACUACGUG